rnacentral:rRNA from 1 species
GAUGAACGCUGGCGGCGUGCCUAAUACAUGCAAGUCGAGCGAACGGACGAGAAGCUUGCUUCUCUGAUGUUAGCGGCGGACGGGUGAGUAAUAGGUGGAUAACCUACCUAGAAGACUGGGAUAACUUCGGGAAACCGGAGCUAAUAUAGGAUAAUAUUUUGAACCGCAUGGUUCAAAAGUGAAAGACGGUCUUGCUGUCACUUAUUGAGGGAACCGGGUUGCAUUAGCUAGUUGGUAAGGUAACGGCUUACCAAGGCAACGAUGCGUAGCCGACCUGAGAGGGUGAUCGGCCACACUGGAACUGAGACACGGUCCAGACUCCUACGGGAGGCAGCAGUAGGGAAUCUUCCGCAAUGGGCGAAAGCCUGACGGAGCAACGCCGCGUGAGUGAUGAAGGUCUUCGGAUCGUAAAACUCUGUUAUUAGGGAAGAACAUAUGUGUAAGUAACUGUGCACAUCUUGACGGUACCUAAUCAGAAAGCCACGGCUAACUACGUG